UUUACACACCAAACAUGCUCUAAAUAUAAUCAAAAUUCAUUAUGCAUUAAUAUACUGGCAGAAGGUGUUUUUUGUUUACAAUUUGCACAAUACUGGUUGUUACGUAACGGUAUUUAAGUUUAAUAUCCUUUCCAUCUGAUCACAGUAAGAUAGCCCCUCCCCCGCCCCCUGCCGCAUGCACCUUAUGUUUCUCUGGGUGUUAUUCAAUGCUAAAAUGUGACCUGGAUGGUAAAAAUAGAUUUGAAUAAAUCUCCCAAUGCUUCUUGCUUUAAGCCCUUCAUGCAUGUCUAAUGAGGCUGAGUGUGCUAGCAGUAUCUACACUGCCUUCUGGAGGACGGGUAGAUUAGUCAACAUCGACGGGUGUUUCCAGCGUGUCUGGAUGUGCGGCACCUCUAGGGCAUUGCAAAUGGAUUGGACGGCACUGACCGAGGAGCUGUGUGAGGGACCGAAGACCGCCGCGACCCCCAGGGCCAGCUGGUCACAUACUGAGAGAAGAAAAAUGGAGAGAAAGAACAGACAGGGGAAGAAAAACAUGUGA